AUGGAUCUCGACAUGGACGACUACAUGGACCCCUACGAGGAGGCCGAGGCCGAGGCCGCCGCGGAAGCCGCCGGCGUGACCGGCCCAGGCGCCGCAUCCGCGGACGAGGAGUCGGACGGCGAGGACGACUCGGAGGCCGAGAGCGACUACGAGGAGGAGUCCUACGGCCUUCUCAAGUCCGGCAAGCACCGGGUGCGCAACCCGGACGGCACCUUCCGCUGCCCCUUCUGCCCCGGCAAGAAGAAGCAGGACUACAAGCUCAAGGACCUCCUCCAGCACGCCGACGGCAUUGGCGUCUCCAGCAAGCACCGCCGCCACGGCCGGGAGCGUGCCUUCCACCGUGCCUUUGCCCGCUUUGUCCGCGCCGAGCCGUCCUUUGCGCAGGAGCUCUCCACUAUCGUUGGGAUUCCCGGUGCCACUGUAACUGCUACUGCUAAUGCAGAUGCCACUGACAAAGGAAAGGCCGUUGCCAAUGGUCACACCAGUGGAUCCAGUGCUGUGGCAGUGACUGAGGGACCACCACAGGAUGGCGAAGAGAAGUUUGCUUGGCCAUGGUGUGGAAUUCUUGCAGCUGGUGCAGGGUUCAAUGCUGAAAACUUUGCAGAUAGAGUGGCCAUGUUUAGCCCAGAAGACAUUGUGCCUUUAGUUUUCGAUGACACAGAAAAGUCGGAAUGCUUUGCAAUUGUGCGGUUUAGUCCUGGCUGGGGUGGAUUUAGUGACGCUCUCGCACUUGAGAACCAAUUCAGUGUAAAUAAGCUUGGGAAGAAGGAAUGGGAGGCAAGGAGCAGCUGUGGAGGUGCUGUGGACGGCGAGGAGAACGAGAAUGGUGAGGUUAAGGUUUAUGGUUGGGUUGCCCGAGAGGUGGACUACACUGCUGGGGGUUUGGUGGGAAGAUACUUGAGGAAGCAUACUGACAUUAAGACCAUAGAUGAGAUUACCAAGAGUCAGAGGGAGCCAUUGGGGAAGAUUGUGGCAGCACUGGCAACUCAGCUCGAGGCAAAGAACCAAGACUUGCAGGAUCUGGAGACAAAGAAGAAUGCAACAGAAUUCUCCAUUGCAAGGCUUGAGGAGGACAAUAGGAGGCUGCAUGAGGCAUAUAAUGAAGAAAUGCGCAAGCUGCAUCGCAAGGCUCGUGACAAUGCUCUGAGGAUUUUCCAGGACAAUGAAAAUUUGAAGCUUGAAAUAGAAAAUAACAAGAGAGAAAUGGUUUUGCGUGCUAAGCAGCUGGAGAAGUUGUCAGUUGAGAAUGCCAACGACAGGAAAAAACUUGCAGAACUUUCUGAUGAGAAGCAAAAGCUUUUAGUUUAUGGGCAGCUCAUUUCUUUCUACAGCAUAAGAGUAACGCUGAAUAAUUUUCUAGUUUCCCAUAAAGCUACAGUUGCCACUUUCAAGGCAAAAGACGAUAAAAGUGAACUUGAGCUGGCAAGUAUAGAACAGCAGAGGAAUGAUCAGGAUAUUUUGAAGCUAGUCGAGGACCAGAAGAGGGAAAAGGAGGAUGCCCUCGCAAGAAUGCUUGAGCUGGAAAAGGAGCUGCAUGAGAAACGAGAACUUGAGCUCGAAGUGACACGAUUGAAUGGCACACUCCAAGUGAUGAAACAUUUGGAAGGAGACGAUGAUGGGGAUAUUCAUGACAAGAUGGAGAAGCUUAGUGAAAAGCUAGAGCAUGAAAGGAAACGCCUGGAAGAGCUGAGCGGAGAGCUGGUGAGGAAAGAGCGUGAAAGUAAUGAUGAGUUACAGGAGGCCCGAAAAGAAUUGAUAAUGGGUUUGGAGGACAUACUCAGCGGGCGGACAGCUAUCGGUAUCAAAAGGAUGGGCGAACUUGAUGAAAGACCUUUUCAGAAUGCAUGCAAGAGAAAAUAUGGAAAUGAUGAUCAUGAGACGAGGGCAGCAGAGCUGGUCUCGAGUUGGCAGGAGGAGAUAAAGAAGCCAGCCUGGCAUCCUUAUAAGUUUGUUAAGGCUGAAGACGGAAGUGACAAGGAAGUUGUAAAUGAUGAGGACCCAAGACUGAAGCAAUUGUGGAUCGAAUAUGGUGACGAUGUGUGCAAUGCAGUGAAGACCGCUCUGAGCGAAGUAAAUGAGUACAACCCGAGCGGAAGGUACGUGGUGUCAGAGCUGUGGAAUUUCAGGAAAAACCGUAAGGCGACGAUGAAAGAGGUGCUGAGGUUCAUCUUCCAGCAGAUGGAGGUGCCCGGCAAGCGCAGGAGGGGUUGA
rnacentral:rRNA from 1 species